CUCACUCACUCACUCACUCACUCACUCACUCACCUCGCUCAUGGUGGAAACGUGCGCGGGGGUGAGAUGUGCAGCAGCAGAAGUGGACUUGUCUCUUCUCUGGUGUCCGGGUUGAUCCGCAGUGAGGAGCCGCACGGACCGGGAGAGAGGACCAGACUGAGCCGCAGUGAGGAGCCGCACGGACCGGGAGAGCGGACCAGACUGAGCCGCAGUGAGGAGCCGCACGGACCGGGAGAGAGGACCAGACUGAGCCGCUGACCGAGUGAAGCGAGGAGAAGAAGAAGAGAGGACGAGGAGAAGAAGAAGAAGAAGAAGAAGAAGAAGAGGGGAUCUACUUCCUGCCUCGUUCUUUACCUCCUCUCUUCUCUUCUACAGAGACAAAAACUAAAUUGUUUUCUUGACACAGUUGCUAAGUCGCAGUCUCUCGACACCAGCGUGUCACUUGAUUGUGUUCAGGUCGAAGUCCGACUCCCGCUCAGUGGUUUGUUCUUGUCCUCGCGUCUUCGUUGACCUUGAGUUGCCUUGGCAACCCGACCCACAUCCGGCACCAUUGUAAACACUGAAUUGUGAAGCGUGACCUCUUUUCACCGCUGAGCCUUUCACCUCUUUCACUGCGUCGUACACUGAGUACAUCACCUACUCUCUUUUCUCUUCUCUUCUUUUCACGCUGAGCCACAAGCGGCCGCCGUCUGUGUCGGGACAUCACGCUGCCAUGUAGCGUUUCUUUUACAUCUUAACUAUUCACAACAACCUAGAACCACUUGGAACAAAUAUACUGUACUUAAACUAUUUUUAAACUGUAUAUUCAGAUAAAAUCAAUGAGCUAUCGGAGCCUCGACGCUCGGGAAGCGGGAGUCUCUCGAUAACAUACAGUACGUGAACAGGCACUAACUGAAAGAGAAAAGAAAAAUGACAAACGUUUCUUUCUGUUUUUCUUAAGGACAAUCAUCUAGAAACACUUUUUCAGACAAACAAGGCAGUGAUAUACAGUCGAGAGAACAGUUACCUCAUGUCUUAAAUUAUUACCAAACAGCUUCACUGACGUUCACAGCUUGAAACUUGAAAGGAAAUCGCUCCUCCGUGUCCCGACGGGUUGAGGACGAAGUUGAAGCUGAAGGUUUUCAAACUGUUCCGUGAGUGAGGAGAGCGUCGACCUCGCCGCCGUCAGUGUAGUAGUCUGGGAUAUACAGUCCAUUACAAUUGUGAAAUAAAUGCAAUUCUGGAAUGAUG